rnacentral:rRNA from 1 species
GGAGAAAAGAAACUAACCAGGAUUCCCCUAGUAACGGCGAGUGAAGAGGGAAUAGCCCAGCACCGAAGCCUGUGGCAGUUUUGCUGCAAGGCAAUGUGGUGUUUAGGUCAAUUUAUGGACAUGCCACUCCAUUCGAAGUCCAGCACUGAGUAUGGUUCCAAUGGACUUGGCCCAGAGAGGGUGAAAGGCCCGUGCGGAUGGAGGUAUCAGGUAUGAUGGUGUGUCCCCGAGUUGACCUUGGAGUCGGGUUGUUUGAGAUUGCAGCCCAAAGCGGGUGGUAAACUCCAUCCAAGGCUAAAUACUAGCACGAGUCCGAUAGCGAACAAGUACCGUGAGGGAAAGUUGAAAAGUACUUUGAAGAGAGAGUAAACAGUACGUGAAACCGCAUAGAGGUAAACGGGUGGCGUCAAGCUGCAAGCCCGGAGGAUUCAAUUGGUCAGUGUUUGUGCUCGUGUGCUUGGGCACGCCAGUCAACUUGGAGGGUCGUCACCAGUAUUGGUGUGCUGGUUGGUUUACGCCUGCCGGUAUUCUGUUGCAUGGUAUGUGGCAGAGGCUCACACCGAGUGUUGUAAUUGGACUGACUGGCCAAUGCACUUCCUCCGUGGUGGACACCACGACCGGCGGAACUGUCAGUCUGCCUUGACCAGACAGGUUGUUGCGUAGCUGUGUAAAUGGUUGCGUGCUCCUGUUAUUCACGGGCAUUUUGGUGUGGAGUGUGGUGGGUGUCAAUCCCGCUGCUGCUCUCACUGGGUGCAAGCAGGCUUGUUGCUCUCCCUCUUUUCGGAGGGUGGGGGUGGCUUGUCUGGUGGGUCUUGGUGGUGUGUAUAACUGUACAGGGCGCCGGAGUUGACGGUCAAAUUUGCUCUACGGGGCGUACGAUGCGUAUGGUCAUGUGGUUGGCUGUUGAUCGCCGUGUCGCUUGUGCAAACAAGCCCGGUGGUGGUUAACCCUUGUGCUGUGCGUAGUGUAUGUAUGUGCGCUGGUAGAGUGGUAUACCAAUUUUUUUGGUAUGCCUGAAGGACCUACAUAGUCUGUGGUGCUGUGGUAGACCAGCCACCUGACCCGUCUUGAAACACGGACCAAGGAGUUUAACAUGCGCGCGAGUCAUUGGGCUCUACGAAACCCAAAGGCGUAGUGAAAGUGAAGGCCUGAAAUUUUUUAAAUUUUGGGUUACGGUGAGAUCCCGUUGUGUGUUUGCUCCUCGUGCAUUGGCAGUACCAAGCAUGGAGCAGCGGGCGCAUCACCGGCCCGUCCCAU